rnacentral:tRNA from 1 species
CUCGUGAUAGCUCAGUUGGUAGAGCGGAGGACUGUAGAAAGUUAAUAGUAAUCCUUAGGUCGCUGGUUCGAAUCCGGCUCUCGGGA